rnacentral:rRNA from 1 species
UAGGGAAUCUUCGGCAAUGGACGCAAGUCUGACCGAGCAACGCCGCGUGAGUGAAGAAGGUUUUCGGAUCGUAAAACUCUGUUGUUAGAGAAGAACAAGGACGUUAGUAACUGAACGUCCCCUGACGGUAUCUAACCAGAAAGCCACGGCUAACUACGUGCCAGCAGCCGCGGUAAUACGUAGGUGGCAAGCGUUGUCCGGAUUUAUUGGGCGUAAAGCGAGCGCAGGCGGUUUCUUAAGUCUGAUGUGAAAGCCCCCGGCUCAACCGGGGAGGGUCAUUAGAAACUGGGAGACUUGAGUGCAGAAGAGGAGAGUGGAAUUCCAUGUGUAGCGGUGAAAUGCGUAGAUAUAUGGAGGAACACCAGUGGCGAAGGCGGCUCUCUGGUCUGUAACUGACGCUGAGGCUCGAAAGCGUGGGGAGCAAACAGG